rnacentral:rRNA from 2 species
UACGUAGGGUGCGAGCGUUGUCCGGAAUUAUUGGGCGUAAAGAGCUUGUAGGCGGUUUGUCGCGUCUGCCGUGAAAUUUCGAGGCUCAACCUCGAACUUGCGGUGGGUACGGGCAGACUAGAGUGUGGUAGGGGAGACUGGAAUUCCUGGUGUAGCGGUGAAAUGCGCAGAUAUCAGGAGGAACACCGAUGGCGAAGGCAGGUCUCUGGGCCACUACUGACGCUGAGAAGCGAAAGCAUGGGGAGCGAACAGG